rnacentral:rRNA from 1 species
GAUGAACGCUGGCGGUGUGCCUAAUACAUGCAAGUCGAGCGAACAGACGAGGAGCUUACUCCUCUGACGUUAGCGGCGGACGGGUGAGUAACACGUGGAUAACCUACCUAUAAGACUGGGAUAACUUCGGGAAACCGGAGCUAAUACCGGAUAACAUGUUGAACCGCAUGGUUCAACAGUGAAAGACGGUCUUGCUGUCACUUAUAGAUGGAUCCGCGUCGCAUUAGCUAGUUGGUAAGGUAACGGCUUACCAAGGCAACGAUGCGUAGCCGACCUGAGAGGGUGAUCGGCCACACUGGAACUGAGACAAGGUCCAGACUCCUACGGGAGGCAGCAGUAGUGAAUCUUCCGCAAUGGGCGAAAGCCUGACGGAGCAACGCCGCGUGAGUGAAGAAGGUCUUCGGAUCGUAAAGCUCUGUUAUUAGGGAAGAACAAAUGUGUAAGUAACUAUGCACGUCUUGACGGUACCUAAUCAGAAAGCCACGGCUAACUACGUG